rnacentral:rRNA from 1 species
GAUGAACGCUAGCGGCAGGCCUAACACAUGCAAGUCGAGGGGCAGCACAUAAAGUGGUUUACUACUUUUGGUGGCGACCGGCGGACGGGUGCGUAACGCGUAUGCAACCUGCCUCCAACAGGGGGAUAACGGAGAGAAAUUUCCACUAAUACCCCAUAAUAUCAGAAUCGGCAUCGGUUUUGGUUGAAAACUCCGGUGGUUGGAGAUGGGCAUGCGUUGUAUUAGAUAGUUGGUGAGGUAACGGCUCACCAAGUCAACGAUACAUAGGGGGACUGAGAGGUUAGCCCCCCACACUGGUACUGAGACACGUACCAGACUCCUACGGGAGGCGGCAGUGAGGAAUAUUGGUCAAUGGGGGCAACCCUGAACCAGCCAUGCCGCGUGCAGGAAGACGGCUCUAUGAGUUGUAAACUGCUUUUACAAGGGGAUAAAUCGGUGUACGUGUACACCGUUGAAGGUACCUUGGGAAUAAGGAUCGGCUAACUCCGAGCCAGCCGCCGCCGUAA